GACCCAGGAUCAGUUGCCCUAAACAUAACCCGUGAGGGUGGGAGCCCUAACCUUAAUUUUAAGAUGGGCUAUGCUUAAAUGUCAUGAACAAUCAUGUAAGCCUUUCACUGGCUGCCAGGCAGGUCCUCAGAAGAGGGUGGAAUUCCUUCCCUCCUCCUCCUUCUUUUAACUUGAUCUUAAUAAAGGUUUUAAUUGAGGAUAUAUUGUUUUAAACAGCUUUUAUUUUAUUUUUUAGAAUUUACAUCUGUCCUUUUUCUCAUGUGUUUUGAAAUGUAUUUUAUAGCCUGUGGAUAAUGGAACGUACAUGAUUAAGAAAGUGAUUGUGAAUGCACCAUGGGAGGAACACGAUCAUGUGACCCGGUGCGACCUAUCCUGAGGGGGGCCCACACAGGUGGGCGUCCCUCAGACAAUCAUUUAAGCUACUGUUUUGUCUCUCCUGGCCUCACUUGCGCUGUUCCCUCUGAAGAAGCGAGAGUAUCGCGAAACGUAAGGGAUGCCUCUCAGACCGGCAUGAGCAAGGAUUUUUACCUCCCCCAGAACAAGGUGAUUGAGAUCUUAAUAGCCUUUUUUAGCCUUAGUUUUUAGUGGGAGUGAAACGCACUUUGUUCUCCCAUUGAAGGCUAAAUUGGAUAAUUGAACCAGGGAGUGAGGAACUUACGCUUCCCACUUUUAUUUAAACCUUUUUAAACGCAAAUCAGCGGGAAUAAGCAAGUUAGCCCUCCCGACUGAGAGUUUUAAUAUAGAGUUGGGAAUAAGCAAGUCUAGCCCUCCCUACUCAUAUUUCUUAAAGGUUUUUUUAGUGGGAUGAAGCAGAAUUAGCCCUCCCGGUUUUUAAGAUUAACCUCUGGGGGAGAGGAGGAGAGAUUUUUAUUAUUUUUUUAGCCCUUUUAAUUUUCUGGAUUUUAAGAGGGGAACUCCAAUGUUUUUUUACCUGUAAUAUAUUCUGAAUGGCAUAAAGAGUUUGCAGUGUGUGUAUGAACCAUAGUCAACUACGACCUCCACAAAAACGAGACUGUGUGAAGGAGCAACAGUAAGAAGAGACUUGGUUCAGAGACACUUAAAAAGUACACCACCCUGCUCACAGACCCUGGAACAGCAAAUAAAGACUAUUCUAACAAGAUCCAGUGGAAAGCCUAACCGCAGAUGUAAAGGCAGGGACAUCCACUCCACAUGACAGGAUAUAUAGCUACAGCCGAAACAGGCAGUACAUUGGGGAGAUGAUGAGAAAUGUCCCAAAUUGGGCCAAUGCGGUCCACAUAGGAGUAAAUACUUCAUGUGACUGCACAGAUCCCCAUUCAUUUUAAUAUAUCAGUAAAAAGUGAGGCUUGAUUUGAGGCGGCGUAGUUUAAAGUAACACUGCUGCCAAUGAAACAAAUCAUAUCACAUAAUCAUGUGGAGUCAUAGAUUAGU